rnacentral:rRNA from 1 species
UGGGGAAUAUUGCACAAUGGGCGCAAGCCUGAUGCAGCCAUGCCGCGUGUAUGAAGAAGGCCUUCGGGUAGUAAAGUACUUUCAGCGGGGAGGAAGGUGUUGAGGCUAAUAACCUCAGCAAUUGACGUUACCCGCAGAAGAAGCACCGGCUAACUCCGUGCCAGCAGCCGCGGUAAUACGGAGGGUGCAAGCGUUAAUCGGAAUUACUGGGCGUAAAGCGCACGCAGGCGGUCUGUCAAGUCGGAUGUGAAAUCCCCGGGCUCAACCUGGGAACUGCAUUCGAAACUGGCAGGCUAGAGUCUUGUAGAGGGGGGUAGAAUUCCAGGUGUAGCGGUGAAAUGCGUAGAGAUCUGGAGGAAUACCGGUGGCGAAGGCGGCCCCCUGGACAAAGACUGACGCUCAGGUGCGAAAGCGUGGGGAGCAAACA